ensembl:lncRNA
GCAGCAGGCACCACAUCCAGCCCCAGUGCAUGGAGAUAUGGGGAAACAGCCCAGCACCACCCCAGCCACAGAGCCCAGCCAGGAUCUCACCGACUCCAAAUGGGGCCAUUCAGCUCUUCUCUAUCUGGUCAGCCCUGGAAGGAUCCCUGUGCCCACCAGAUUGAUGUUCUCAUUGCUUCUAUUAGAAAGUGUCACCCUGCGCUCGGAGGUUGUUCCUACAGCUGUGGUUUGGGAAUAAGUCUUCUCUUAAGUGGGUCUCCCAGUCACAUGGCUCCGCAAGUACGGAGAUUCAAGGAAAAGCAUUGGGAACAUUGCAGCUGAGGGGCCCUGUGCUGGACAGAAUCCUUCCACCUGAGCAGUCCUUGCAGGAGACAGUCUGACCCGGGAGUUGGCAACUGGGCUCAGCGGCUCCGAGUGUUGGGAGAGGAUCAAAAAGCUGCCCCGGCUGUAAAUCUCUCACCUGCCAUCUUCCUUACUGGAGCUUGUGGCCAUUCCUCCGAGGUCGGCCCCGGGUCAGGAUUUCUCCUGUCUCUUUAGCCCCCAAACCUGGAGAUUUUUGUCUUAUCUUUGACGCCAUCUUGACACCGAAAACAAAUUAUGACCCAAUUACCCCUCCCGAGAGGGGCUGGGGCUACCUUAAAUGGCCACAACUGUCAGGCGCUUCCUUAAGAGCAGGUCAUUACUGGGGGGACGGGGCAGUGAUGGGGGGGGGGACGCCACCCUCCCCUUGGUAUAGGAUCCCCUCCUGCAUGGAGACAUCCCAUCCUGUGCCAGCUGAGCUGCAUCUGACCUGCAGGCCAGGGCUGACUGCUGGUGGGUGCGGGCUGACGUGCGCAGGCCUCACCAACCCCAUCACACUGCAUCUGCCCUGGCCCUGGCCGUGACCUUCGGGGGAAGCUUGAGCUGAGCUGCCACCGGAACUGGGGUUGGCUCUGCUGCAGUGCAAGGCACCAAAGCCCUGAGUUUUAAAAAGUCCUUUUGCUUUUUCUCUAUCAGUGCUCUUAGAGGACAGCUCCGCUGCCCCGGGUGCCCGUGUGGCUCUCGCUGGAGGCUGCAGCAGCGCUGAGCUGAGUGCCGGCCUGCUGACAGCACCCACACGUAUCCCAUGCAUCUCCCCAUGCUGUGCCGCUGCAUCGGUUCUGCUCCCCUUCCCACACUGUGCACAGCACCCCCUGACCUCAUCGUUUUGCUCCAGGUCCCGUUUUGCUCCGGGCUGGGGUUGGGGCUGGGCUUGGGUGUUUCUUU